UGGGGAAUCUUGCGCAAUGGGCGAAAGCCUGACGCAGCAACGCCGCGUGAGUGAAGAAGGCCUUCGGGUUGUAAAGCUCUGUCAGGGGGAAAGAAGGCACCUGGGUUAAUAGCCCAAGGGCUGACGGUACCCCCAAAGGAAGCCACGGCUAACUACGUGCCAGCAGCCGCGGUAAUACGUAGGUGGCAAGCGUUGUCCGGAAUCAUUGGGCGUAAAGCGCGCGUAGGUGGCUUGUCAGGUCUGAUGUGAAAUUUCGGGGCUCAACCCCGAACGUGCAUCGGAAACCGGCCUGCUAGAGUCUGGGAGAGGAGAGUGGAAUUCCUGGUGUAGCGGUGAAAUGCGUAGAUAUCAGGAGGAACACCGGUAGCGAAGGCGGCUCUCUGGAACAGUACUGACGCUGAGGCGCGAAAGCUAGGGGAGCGAACAG
rnacentral:rRNA from 1 species